rnacentral:rRNA from 1 species
UACAGAGGGGGCAAGCGUUGUUCGGAAUUACUGGGCGUAAAGGGCGCGUAGGCGGCCUUCUAAGUCGAACGUGAAAUCCCCGGGCUCAACCCGGGAACUGCGUCCGAUACUGGAAGGCUUGAAUCCGGGAGAGGGAUGCGGAAUUCCAGGUGUAGCGGUGAAAUGCGUAGAUAUCUGGAGGAACACCGAUGGCGAAGGCAGGUCUCUGGGCCGCAACUGACGCUGAGGAGCGAAAGCAUGGGGAGCGAACAGG